GUAGGGAAUAUUGGGCAAUGGAUGCAAGUCUGACCCAGCCAUGCCGCGUGCAGGAAGAAGGUCCUCUGGAUUGUAAACUGCUUUUUUGGGGGAAGAAUAGUUUUCUUGCGAGGAAUUGUGACGGUACCCUAAGAAUAAGCAACGGCUAACUACGUGCCAGCAGCCGCGGUAAUCCGUAGGUGGCAAGCGUUGUCCGGAUUUAUUGGGUUUAAAGGGUGCGUAGGUGGUUUGGUAAGUCAGUGGUGAAAGCCGGUUGCUCAACAAUCGAGUUGCCAUUGAUACUGUCGGACUUGAGAGAAGUGGAGGUUCAUGGAAUGGAUGGUGUAGCGGUGAAAUGCAUAGAUAUCAUCCAGAACGUCGAUUGCGAAGGCAGUGGGCUGUACUUUAUCUGACACUGAGGCACGAAAGUGUGGGGAUCAAACAGGAUUAGAAACCCUUGUAGUCC
rnacentral:rRNA from 1 species